UACGUAGGGUGCAAGCGUUGUCCGGAAUUAUUGGGCGUAAAGAGCUCGUAGGCGGUCUGUCGCGUCGGCUGUGAAAACCUGGGGCUCAACUCCGGGCCUGCAGCCGAUACGGGCAGACUAGAAUUCGGUAGGGGAGACUGGAAUUCCUGGUGUAGCGGUGAAAUGCGCAGAUAUCAGGAAGAACACCUAUGGCGAAGGCAGCUCUCUGGGACGGUACUGACGCUGAGACGCGAAAGCGUGGGGAGCAAACAGG
rnacentral:rRNA from 1 species